rnacentral:rRNA from 1 species
GACGAACGCUGGCGGCGUGCUUAACAUAUGCAAGUCGAACGGUGAUCUUGAGAGCUUGCUCUUGGGUGAUCAGUGGCGAACGGGUGAGUAACACGUGAGUAACCUGCCCCUGACUCUGGAAUAACUUCGGGAAACCGAAGCUAAUACCGGAUAUGACACAGAGCCGCAUGGUUUCUGUGUGGAAAGUUUUUCGGUUGGGGAUGGACUCGCGGCCUAUCAGCUUGUUGGUGAGGUAAUGGCUCACCAAGGCGACGACGGGUAGCCGGCCUGAGAGGGCGACCGGCCACACUGGGACUGAGACACGGCCCAGACUCCUACGGGAGGCAGCAGUGGGGAAUAUUGCACAAUGGGCGAAAGCCUGAUGCAGCGACGCCGCGUGAGGGAUGAAGGCCUUCGGUUGUAAACCGUCUUUCUAGUAGGGAAGAAGACGCAAGUAGACGGUAACCGUACACGAAGAAAGACACCGGCUAACUAACGUGCCAAGCAGCCGCGGUAAACGUAGUCUACG